rnacentral:rRNA from 1 species
ACUCAAAGGAAUUGACGGGGGCCCGCACAAGCGGUGGAGCGUGUGGUUUAAUUCGAUGCUACGCGAAAAACCUCACCUAGGCUUGACAUCCCUGGAACCCUCUUGAAAGAGAGGGGUGCCCCUUCGGGGGAGCCAGGAGACAGGUGCUGCAUGGCUGUCGUCAGCUCGUGUCGUGAGAUGUUGGAUUAAGUUCCGCAACGAGCGCAACCCUUGCCGCUAGUUACCAGCAUUAAGUUGGGGACUCUAGCGGGACUGCCAGCAAAAACUGGAGGAAGGUGGGGAUGACGUCAAGUCAGCAUGGCCCUUACGCCUAGGGCUACACACGCGCUACAAUGGCCGAUACAACGCGUUGCGACCCUGCGAGGGGAAGCGGAUCGCUUAAAGUCGGCCCCAGUUCGGAUUGGAGGCUGCAACCCGCCUCCAUGAAGUCGGAAUCGCUAGUAACCGCCGAUCAGCACGCGGCGGUGAAUACGUUCCCGGGCCUUGUACACACCGCCCGU